rnacentral:rRNA from 1 species
UACGAAGGGGGCUAGCGUUGUUCGGAUUUACUGGGCGUAAAGCGCACGUAGGCGGAUCGUUAAGUCGAGGGUGAAAUCCUGGAGCUCAACUCCAGAACUGCCUUCGAUACUGGCGAUCUAGAGUCCGGAAGAGGUGAGUGGAACUCCUAGUGUAGAGGUGGAAUUCGUAGAUAUUAGGAAGAACACCAGUGGCGAAGGCGGCUCACUGGUCCGGUACCGACGCUGAUGUGCGAAAGCGUGGGGAGCAAACAGG